rnacentral:rRNA from 1 species
AACCUGCGGAAGGAUCAUUAUUGAAUAAACUUUUUUUAGUUUUUUUUUCAUAUUCCCUGUUUAUAUUAAAUACGUUCCUUCCAUCGGACAGGUCUUUUUUAGGACCCUCUGGCUUGAGCAAAUGCUUUUGCUAGGGAGUUUUCCGGUGGCAAUUUCUAAAAAAAAAAAUUUGUUAUUUAUGAACUGUCUGAAUAAUAACUUUUUAAAUUAAAUAAAACUUUCAACAACGGAUCUCUAGGCUCUUGCAUCGAUGAAGAACGCAGUGAAAUGCGAUAAGUAAUGUGAAUUGCAGAAUCUCGUGAAUCAUCGAAUCUUUGAACGCACAUUGCGCCCUAUGGUAUUCCGUAGGGCAUGCCUGUCUGAGCGUCAACUCCCACCCUCUCAAGUCUUCUUUGAUUUGGAUUGCUUUGAGGAAGUAUCAAAUUUUUUGCUACUCCUCAGAAAUUUAUAGGCAGUAUGGUCAAACCUGAACCAGGCGUAAUAAUUUUAUAAAAAAUCGUCUAAUGAAGGAAAGUCUGUAUUAGUCUUUAA